rnacentral:lncRNA from 1 species
ACAAGGUAGAAUUUUAUUUUCCUCUCACAUAAAAGCCUGACGGUGGGAGUCUGGGACUGGUAUGUUGCCCCAGUCUCCUUCCAGCUUAUUAUUCUGAGGUUCCUAGUGGGUGGCCCUUGUCCUUGUGGUUCAAGGUGUCACCCACCACCUACCAAACAGCAAAAUAGAGGGGAGAACAAAGAAGGGCCAAAAAGAAUAAACACAAGUUUGUCUUAGGGAAGGAUCCUAGAAUCAGCCACAUGACACUACACUUACUUCUCAUUGGCAAGAGCUCAGUCACAUGACCAUACCUAACCACACAGGAGGUUGGGAAAUGUAGUCUUCUUUCUAGGCAGUCAUGCUCCAGCUAAAGCUCUGAUUAGGGAGUAGAAAAUUAUUGGGAACCACUAGUAACUUCUAGCAGAAGCCUCAUGACCUCUCUUGGCAUGGGGACAUUGCUAUCUUACCAUAAGCGUAUUGCUGUAUUAACUGAAACCUCACAUGCAAGUCAUCUAGCACAGAGCCUGGAACAUACUAGGCACAACCCCCCUUCUUCCUCCUCCCCAUUUCCAGGAUUCUGGAGUGCAUACUUUUUUCCUCUCAAAUGUGUCCAUAGCUCCUGCAGCCAAUGUCUGAGCAUUGUCCCAAGCUGAACUCUCAGAGUCAGCCUGCAACUUGCCAGGGCCUUGAGCUGGGCCUCCAAGUAUUAGAGUAAGCCACAGGGACCUGCCUUAUCCUCAUGCCCACCCACUCUGGAGUCUGUGAAAAGAGACUCUCCCUGCUUCUCUUUUUGAUACUGCUAGUAAUUUUGCACAAGAAAACACCUGCCCCAGCCCUCCCUGGAGCCCCAGGUCUGCUUCUUGCCUUGAUACUGGUGGUCGAAGCCCAGGAGAGCUGGGACUUAAUUCAAAGACCUCAAAUGUGCAAAAACCUGUGGAAAAGCUGAGAGAGCUCCACUGAAGAGGGUUUGCUGGGCAGGAACCAACUCCUCACACACAUCAGUUUCAGACUCUUCUAGCAAAAGACUCUGUAAGGCAGAGAGAGUGGCCUUUAACCAGAUAACCCCAGACUCCCAAGUUUAGAGUAUAACCCAAAGCAAUAACCAUGAAUAAAAACUGAAUAAAAACUCCUUUCAGUCUUCUCUUUCUUUUUUAAAAUUUGUUGAAAUUUUACAUUUUAUUACUUUACUUCAAAACAUAUUUCCCUAAAUACUUCUAGUAAAAUUAACACUUCAGCAAGAUAUACCAUGUUUAUCCUUCACCUUCACUUGUCCUUGGCCCAGCAUGCAUGUCCCCGGGAAUCACUGCACCACCCCCUUUCAUUCCCGCACAACCCCAUGCAAUAUGAACUCUUAUACAGAUGGACACAUUUGGAAACCGAGGUUGAGAGAGUAUGCAGAUCGUCUGAGAGUAACUGGUUGACCUGGGAUUCAGAUCCUGGUCCAUCUGGUUCUAAAUCCUUGCCCUGUAAUCAUCAUGUAAGUAAAUAGGGCUUACCCACCACCUAGUGAUGGAAUCUGUUGCCUAGGCGCUUGGGCACACAGGGGAAUUGGCAAGGAGGGGGCACCAUGAAGGAAGCCCCUUUGUAGGUGAGGAGAUGAGUUUGGGGGAUGCAGGCCAUUGACUCCAGGAGUGACCUCCACUAGCAAGAUGCCUGGAAGCUGGAGAGCUGCUUCAACUAAUAGCAUGGGACUGGCUUGGAACUCAUUCUUGGGUCACCCUAACCUCAAGGGCAGAGAGCCAGGACCAGAGAGGAGUGGGGAGAACCCCUUGUCUCUGGUCAAGAAUCCUGAAAGGGGAAAGAUGCUUUGUGACCACAGUCAGUCAUGAGGACUGAUCCCAGCCUGGAGUCCAGGGGUACUCAGAAGAACAGAGGCCAAGGUGGCCCCAACCCAAGAAAAGCAGGACAUGGACCCUGCCUCAAAAAGUGGAGCCCCUAGGAGUUAGUUCCCUUCAUGGCCCAGCUGUUAAUGAAUCUGACUAGGAUCCAUGAGGAAGCAGAUUCAAUACCUGGCCUCGCUCAGUGGGUUAAGGAUCUGGUGUUGCUAUGAGCUAUGGUGUAGGUCGCAGAUGCGGCUUGGAUCCCAUGUUGCUGUGGCUGGUGGCGUAAGCCAGUGACUAUAGCUCUCAUUUGACCCCUAGCCUGGGAACCUCCAUGGGCCGAGAGUGUGGCCCUUAAAGGAAAAAGCAAAAACGAAAAAAGGAGUGGCCCCUACCAGAAGGACACAAAAGUGUCUCUUAGAAUCCUGGCAAUGGUGAGUAUGGAGGAGAGUGACACAGGGGACUCCCUAUGAGGAGGCAAUGAUCUAGGCUUGGCACCCACUCCCUGCCAAAAAAUGCUCAGCUGUAGCAUCAGAAGUGCCCCAGCCACCAUUGUGUAAAUUCAGCGCCGCUCCACGUUUGGGGCGAGAUGUGACUUCUUGGUAGACCCACCUGUCCUGUCUCCCUCAUAAGUAAGAGUUCCCAGUGAGGGUGUUGCAGGUCCCUUCUCCUGGGCCCCUGGUUCCUACACCAGGACCCCCAACCGACUAGGCACUUAUUCCACAGGAUGGAAUGAACUCCCAAAUUCUAAUUCCAAAUUCCAAAUUAUUCUAAUUCCCUGGAAGACAAGGAGAAGGGGGAAGACGUGAAUUGUUCUUAUUGGUCUCUGUACAGGUGAUAGGAUCCAGAGGUGAUAUUUGCUGUCACCAAACCUGAUGUGGGUGCCUAGGCUGAUCAGCAGGGGGAGCCAGGCCUCUGUUUUGGUCCUUGAGCUGCCCUGGCUGGAAGUGGCCUGGCCAGGGGUUGAGAAAAGUUGGCUCUCAGCAGGUGUUGCUCCAGAGAAGGUAAGUCCUAGGCAGCCCAGAAAAAAACAUCUGGUCCCCAGAAGUCUCUAUGGCUGAUUGUUGUUUGUUUCUCACCAUCUGACUUCCCCCGGGCAUGUAUGUUUGGAAGUACUUGAGCGCAGGGAAGCCUGUGAGUGGCAGUCUGGGGGACUGCCUGGGUGCCUCCAGGCUUUGUUCUGAGUGGUGGGAGGGGGCUUCUCUGAUCAUCUCAGGUCCUGGGCCACAAGCAGUGGCCAGGCCAGACAUUUUCUAUGCUUGGAGAAGAUGCUGCUGGUGCUGCAGAUGAGUCCAGAACCACUCACCUCCUUGCUCUGCCCAGAAAGGAGUCAUUCUUGCAGAUCCUGCAAGAGGGAGGAUCCACUUGGGCCGCCUCAGGAGACAGUCCCUGGACGUGGCCCAGCCCCUGACCUCUGAAGCAACCCCCCACCCGCUGCUCUUUCCUGCUCUCCAGGUCAGCGUGGGCCAGGAUGGAGGAAGCCUCCCUUGCUUCUCUGGCCAAAGGAAAGGAGCCAAGGGGUUGCAAAACAGCCCUUAGGUUCUUGGACAAGAAGGCAAAACAAAACAAAACGAAACGCAAAACAAAAAGCUCAGCUAGAUCACUGUCUCACCCAGAGGCAAGUGAUUGCUCAAUUCAGGGCAGCCAGCCUGGCCUCUGUCACCUGCUGAGCCUCAGGAAUGAACCUGCAAGUGGGCAUUUGAUGGGGACAGGGCCUCUCUGGCCUGAGAGGGAGAUGCCAUUCUCCCCUCUGGAAACCACAGGCAAGAACAGCUUGCAGAAUGAUAUUCCACCAAGGAAUCAGGCUGUGUCCAGAAGGGCCUGUGGCCACACAGGGCAGAGAAGGUGAAUUCAAACCGCAAAGUAGACAAAUUGCUAAGUCCCUUCCCACUGCCCCAUCAGCAGCUCUCUUCCGGCUUCCUGACUGCCCAGGGUAGCCCCUUUUAAACACUUACAAAAGGAUCACCAUGAACCCCUCCUUCCAAAGUUAAGAGUACAAAUAAGGAGCUUACAGAGGAGCAUGAAUGCUGGACCAUCUCCACAGAGUGACAAGCCCUGAAGAGCCUCCUACUGGGGAGAGAGGACAGAACCUGCCUCCCAGAGCCUGAAGGAAAAGACACUCACUCGGAGUCAUAAAAAGGCAGAAGAAUUUUCUAGGUAGAUGACAGGAGCAAGGCCCCACCGCACCUCUGAAGGGGCCACUGGCCAGGCAGGCACACACAGUUGCCAAUGAUGCAGCAGAGAAGAUCACAAAGCACUUUAGUUCACCAAGUUAUUUCACCUACCUUUAUUCUGUGAGGUAAAUCGGAAGAUGAAGUUCAGAGAAGUUAAGGAACUUAUCUCAGGACACACAGCAAGUAGCUCUGAUUCCAUGUUCCAAGUCUUAACUUGUUCUUUGGGUAGUCUGUGCCCCACCACCACCCCAAUUCCCAGAGGCGAAACCUUGGAGAAAACAACAGGGCCUGUCUUAGCUUGACAGGUCUACAACUUGAUUUCGUUUUUAGGUCAUUCAGAGUUGCUUAAUAUCUGGAGGCCCAGCUCAUGCCAACCACACAGGAGGUGGAUGGGCAAACAGAAAACUACCGUGUUUGUUUACAGGGAGAGUGGGUUUGUCAUUAAGGCUGGUGUCAGGAAUUUGCUGGAGCCACCAAUUCCCUCCUGGUGAUGUCCGCAAAUGCAGAGCAAGGGUGCGAAGGGAGCCAGCCAUCCUGAAGGACCAGGUGACAGAGACGCUUGACAUCCUGGGAAGAAUCAGGAAAGGUGACUCUGGAGCACCCUGGGUGCAGAUCUCAGCUCUACCCAUCUCUGACAGUGUGACCUUGGCAGGUUACUUAAGCUUCAGCUCGUUCAUCUUCAAGAUGGAGAUAAUCAGAGAACAACCCAGAA